rnacentral:lncRNA from 1 species
UAAGAUUAGUGGAUGUGUUAACAAGACGAUCUAAGAGUAUAUCUUAACUAUACUUGACGGCUAACUUAAGUGUGAUAAUCUGGUGAGUUAUUAAUUUAAAAUUUGCUCAUGGAAUUAUUGAGAUAUCAAUUAGGAUGAGAGCCAUUAAUAUAUGAUUUAGAGUCAAUGUAAAGCUAUUCUGAAUUUCUUAGCAAUUGGUGGAAAUUAUGAUUGAAUGAAUAAAAUUG